GAAUUGCAGAAUUCAGUGAAUCAUCGAAUCUUUGAACGCACAUUGCGCCCAUUAGUAUUCUAGUGGGCAUGCCUGUUCGAGCGUC
rnacentral:rRNA from 1 species